UCUUCCUUCUUCUGGUGGUUUUUGGGGUUGCAAUGUUUCGAUCUUUGUUGUGUAAAUCAGGGGGGAUUCUGAGAAGGACGACCGGCAUCAUCAAUGGAGAAUCUUCUUCUUCAACAUUAUUAGCAGCUAAGUAUUUUCUCUUUACACCACAAAAUCAAAAUGUUUUUGUAAUUUCAAAAUCUAGGGUUACUUCCAUCUUUAAUUCCUUCUAUACUACUAGUAAUAAUGGUAAUAGCAAUGUUACUUCUAGCGAUUUUGAGUCUGAUUCUUCACAUGUGGUUUCUUAUCUGAUUAGUUCAUGUGGAUUAUCACAAACUGAAGCAAUUAUUGCUUCUAAAAAAAUCAAAUUCAAAACCACAACCAAACCAGAUUCAGUCUUAAUCCUACUUAAGACUUACGGAUUUACUGAAUCCCACAUUUCUAAAUUAAUCACUAAGCAUCCAUCCAUCCUCUUGGCCAAUCCUCAUAAAACCCUUAAACCCAAACUUGAUUUCUUCAGAUCAAAGGGGCUUUAUGAAAUUGAGCUUGCCAAUUUCAUCUCAACUGUCCCUGGAUUACUGAUGCAAAGCUUAAAUAAAGAAAUAAUUCCUUCCUUUGAUAAACUUAGGAGCCUUGUUCAGUAUGAUGAAAGCGUCAUUAAAAUGAUUCCAAGAAAUUCUUGGAUUCUCAGGGAAAGUCAAGUUCAAAAAGUGAUGGUCAACAUAGACCUUUUGAGAAAUCAAGGUGUCCCUCAAACUAAUAUUUCUAAGUAUCUAAUCCAAUGCCCAAGAGUAUAUGCAGAAAAUGCCAAUAGAUUUAAAGAGAUUGUAGAAAAGGUUAAAGAAGUGGGUUUUGAUCAUUUACAAACCACAUUUCCUAGAGCUAUAGUAGUGUUGACAUCAAUGACCGAAGCAAAUUGGGAAAGCAAGAAGGAUGUUUACAAGAGAUGGGGUUGGUCUGAGGAUCAAAUUCAAUCAGCAUUUAGGAGAAAUCCUCAAUGUAUGUUGGCUUCUGAAAAGAAGAUUAUGGCGAUUAUGAAUUUCCUUGUCAAUGAAAUGGGUUACAAUUCAGUAAGUAUUUCCAGAAGCCCUAUAGUUUUUAAUUGCAGCUUGAAGGACAGGAUUAUCCCUAGAUGUUCAGUUAUCAGGAUUUUAGUCUCCAAGGGUCUGAUUCAGGAAAAAAUUUGUAUUAAUCCACUUUCAACAAUGGUAGACAAGGCAUUUCUGGAGAAGUUUGUCAAAAUGUACGAGCAAGAAGUUCCUGAACUUAUAAAGGUAUUCCAGUGUCAGCUUAAUUAUCAAGACCUACUUCUGAACUGAAGGAUUUGAGGAGAUGAAUACACGGCGAGUUCAGUGAAGUUAGAGCAGCAACAGAAGAGAAUCAAGCAACACGCAGGCAGUUGCUCUUAGGCUUGCAUACUGAAGUACAAAUGAACCUAGGGCUGGUUGUGGGUGCCGUAAGCCAGUAUUUCUCUUUUGAGUAUUACCGAAUGGCUUUACGUUUUUCUCAAGUUAGAAUUUUGUAAAAUGAUCCUUUAGUUAUGACUUAAGAAUCUGAUAUAGUAGCAAAGGAGUAUGAAUUUCGAAAUACGAACAAAAGUUGCUUUAGAAUGCUUCUCUCCCAUUGCCUGAAAUUCUGAAACACAUGAAAAUUUUCAGUUCCCUCUUACUCUUUAUGUUGCGUGUUGGCAGAAGAAAAGAAGUAUGCGAGGAAGUGUGUACAUGAUCCACUGAAUGUUCUCUGUUUCUGAAUUUUAAUUUGUGCAUUUUAUGAUGUGGUCUCUAUUCUAUGAAGAAUUUUUUGGCAUCUCGUAAAGAAUUGAGGACACUGACUGAUUUAUUUGUUCCCUUCGUGUAUAAAAUCAGAUUACAUCAGAGGGAAGGAAAAAAAAAAGUAACAAGCUUUGAAUAUUCUGUUUACCGAUCCAUUUCAGACUGAGUUCCAACUCAGCCUGGUGAGCUGACUGCAGUUUCGCGCAACAUCUAUCUGGCGCGACAGAUGUUGUGUCUUCAAAAUUGAGGACACUGACUGAUUUACUUGCUCCCUCUGUGUAUAAAAUCAGAUCACAUCCGAGGGAAGGAAGAAAGAAACAGGAUUUUAGUCUCCAAGGGUUUGAUUAAGAAGAUGAUUUCUAUAAAUGCACUUUCAACAAUGGUAGAUGAAUCUUUGCAAACUUUAGUCACCAAGACGUACUGCAGAACUGAAGGAUUUGAUGAGAUUAGUACACGAUGUACGCGGGGAAGCUUGUGCAGCUACAAUAGAUAAUUGAGCAAUAUGCAGGCAGGCGCUCCCAGGUUUGAAUACUUCAAUGAAACCUAGAGCUGGUUGUUAGGAGGGUCCAGCUGCAAGAGAUUUGUGUGUGCAGAAGUAAGCCAGUAAAUCUUUUUGUGCAUAUAACCAAAUGGUUUUUCGUUUUUCUCAAGUAAGUUAGAAUUUUGUAAAAAUGACCCUAUAGGUAAGAUUCUGAUCAGGUACUAGUAGCACAA